rnacentral:rRNA from 1 species
GAUGAACGCUAGCGGGAGGCCUAACACAUGCAAGCCGAGCGGUAUUUGUUCUUCGGAACAGAGAGAGCGGCGCACGGGUGCGGAACACGUGUGCAACCUGCCUUUAUCUGGGGGAUAGCCUUUCGAAAGGAAGAUUAAUACCCCAUAAUAUAUUGAGUGGCAUCAUUUGAUAUUGAAAACUCCGGUGGAUAGAGAUGGGCACGCGCAAGAUUAGAUAGUUGGUGAGGUAACGGCUCACCAAGUCAAUGAUCUUUAGGGGGCCUGAGAGGGUGAUCCCCCACACUGGUACUGAGACACGGACCAGACUCCUACGGGAGGCAGCAGUGAGGAAUAUUGAACAAUGGGUUAGCGCCUGAUCCAGCCAUCCCGCGUGAAGGACGACGGCCCUAUGGGUUGUAAACUUCUUUUGUAUAGGGAUAAACCUACUCUCGUGAGAGUAGCUGAAGGUACUAUACGAAUAAGCACCGGCUAACUCCGUG